CGUUGAUUACCGUCCCUGCCCUUUGUACACACCGCCCGUCGCUACUACCGAUUGAAUGGCUCAGUGAGGCGUCCGGACUGGCCCAGAGAGGUGGGCAACUACCCCUCAGGGCCGGAAAGCUCUCCAAACUCGGUCAUUUAGAGGAAGUAAAAGUCGUAACAAGG
rnacentral:rRNA from 1 species